GAGACCAUUUUCUAGCUCCGCCACUGCCUCCAUCCCUAUAAUCUUUAUCCAGCCACCUGAAACCUUACAGCAGUUGUAUCCCACGACCCGACCCGACGCCUAACCAAUCCCCACCAUCGACCUCUCCGACCUCCACUCUGAUUGUCGCUUUGCCAUCGUCAACCAAGUCAGCGGCGCGUGCCGCAACACCUUCUACCAGUAGAUGUAGCUGGCUUUCUGGACUGGGUCCCUCAGGAUUCGCAGAGCCAACCUCCUCCGAUGUUUCCCGAUGCUUGGUGCUUAUGGCAAUCGGCUCCUGGCACGUUUAUUGAGCUACUCUCCAGUAGAAAGGAUGUCCGCUACUGCCGCGAUUGGGCAUGAUAUUUUCCAGGAACUGCGCCCUUAAUCAUAUGCAGAAUAAUACCCUAGUCUUUUAGUUUUUUUGUUGUUCUUCGGUCUCUUAGUUUUUAUGAGUCGAUUGCUUUUUUAUUGUUUUUCAAUCACAUCAUAUCCCAAAACUCACAACAAUUAACUUUGCAUAUAUACAUGCUAUGUUUUUGACCCAAUCUCUAUGGAGAAGCGAUCAAUUAAUUACAUGGCUGAUUUCGAUCUUGUGAACCGAUAUGUUGAAGCAUUAGGCCUCAAAGUUCACUGGAAUCAUGCAUUAGAUUUCUGCGGUUGAUUUCAAAUACUAGACGUCUAGGUUUGACUAGCUAUCACAUAGUACGUACGUACUGGUGAAAAUGAGUUCAAGCAAAAUGGUUUUGAAUGGUUUUGGUCGUGAGUGACACAAUAUCUAUUAGGUAAUCUCAACCCACAUGCAUUAUUGAAGAAUCCCUGGAUGAGAAUCUCCAGAAGUCCUUCCACAAGUACUUGGAGAUUAAGGGAAUCAAGCCCAGCACAACCAAUUUCUUGCAUGAGUACAUGAUCAAUAAAGACAGUAGAGAAUAUAAGAACUGGUUGAAGAAACUUAAGCAGUUCGUUCAAGAUUAAGUGUCUCGUAGGAUAUCGUUUUUGCAAAAGAGAUCCAAAGUUAUAUUUGAGUCUGUGGAACUUCUAUGGCAUUUAGCAUCAAAUCUUAUAAUUUCGGAAGAAGACAAUUAUGUAGUUCAUUGAAACUCAAGGAUGUGGUUUAUGUUGACACUGUUAUAUGCUUUUGAUAUGACAAUGAUCAUUUGAGCAAUCUAUGUGUUUUUGUCAGGCAGUCAAUUUCUAUGUGGCAGUAUUUUUCAAGCUUAAAAAAAAAAAAAUCCACAUAACGUUUAUAGAGAAAUUAAACAA